rnacentral:rRNA from 1 species
UACGUAGGGGGCAAGCGUUGUCCGGAUUUAUUGGGCGUAAAGAGCGUGUAGGCGGCCAGGUAGGUCGGUUGUGAAAACUGGAGGCUCAACCUUCAGAGGUCGACCGAAACCAUCUGGCUAGAGUCCGGGAGAGGAGAGUGGAAUUCCUGGUGUAGCGGUGAAAUGCGCAGAUAUCAGGAAGAACACCCGUGGCGAAAGCGGCUCCUCUGGAACGGUACUGACGCUGAGACGCGAAAGCGUGGGGAGCGAACAGG